CCUACGGGAGGCAGCAGUAAGGAAUAUUGCUCAAUGGCCGAAAGGCUGAAGCAGCAACGCCGCGUGAAGGAUGAAGACCUUUUGGUUGUAAACUUCUGUAGAGGGGGAGAAAUGUUCCCGUCUCGGGAAAUUGAUAGUACCUUUAAAGUAAGCCCCGGCUAACUACGUGCCAGCAGCCGCGGUAAUACGUAGGGGGCAAGCGUUGUCCGGAUUUACUGGGUGUAAAGGGUGCUCAGGUGGUUGUGUAAGUCAGGGGUGAAAUCCUAGAGCUUAACUCUGG
rnacentral:rRNA from 1 species